rnacentral:rRNA from 1 species
AUUGAACGCUGGCGGCAUGCCUUACACAUGCAAGUCGAACGGUAACAGGUCUUCGGAUGCUGACGAGUGGCGAACGGGUGAGUAAUACAUCAGAACGUGCCUAGUAGUGGGGGAUAACUACUCGAAAGAGUGGCUAAUACCGCAUGAGAUCUACGGAUGAAAGCAGGGGAUCGCAAGACCUUGUGCUACUAGAGCGGCCGAUGGAAGAUUAGGUAGUUGGUGGGAUAAAAGCUUGCCAAGCCGACGAUCUGUAGCUGGUCUGAGAGGACGAUCAGCCACACUGGGACUGAGACACGGCCCAGACUCCUACGGGAGGCAGCAGUGGGGAAUUUUGGACAAUGGGCGAAAGCCUGAUCCAGCAAUGCCGCGUGCAGGAUGAAGGCCUUCGGGUUGUAAACUGCUUUUGUACGGAACGAAAAGCCCUGGGUUAAUACCCUGGGGUCAUGACGGUACCGUAAGAAUAAGCACCGGCUAACUACGUGCCAGCCGCCGCCGUAA